UCCGGUUUGGCACCGGCAGUCUCCCUAGAGUUCCCGGCAUUACCCGCUGGCAACUAGGAAAAGGGGUUGCGCUCGUUGCGCCACUUAAGGCAACACCUCACGGCACGAGCCGACGACAGCCAUGCAGCACCUGUGCGGGCUCCCGUAGGAGGACCGUGUUUCCACGGCUUCACCCCGCAUGUCAAGCCCUGGUAAGGUUCUUCGCGUUGCGUCGAAUUAAGCCACAUGCUCCGCCGCUUGUGCGGGUCCCCGUCAAUUCCUUUGAGUUUUAGCCUUGCGGCCGUACUCCCCAGGCGGGGUGCUUAAUGCGUUAGCUUCGGCACGGAACGGGUUGAAGACCGCCCCACACCUAGCGCCCAACGUUUACAGCGUGGACUAC
rnacentral:misc_RNA from 1 species